rnacentral:sRNA from 1 species
CUUCUCUAGUUAUAUUGCGUCAAUGUUUAAGUUCUUUGGCCCCUAAAAUUCCCUAAUUACGUAAUAAAUGGGCGUGGCAAUGAUUUUUUCUAAUAGAUAUUGGUAUUAUCAACAACUUUGCAUCUAUAAUGGAUUACAAUAUCUUUAUCGUUUUUAAGUUAUUUGUAAUAGAGUUUACGAGUCUCUUGGUCCCUAAAAAAAGGGGCCGGCCCCUUUUUCUUGAUUUCGUUGGAAAGAACUUAUGAUUAUCUACCACUUUUGUUAUAUAUAUCUUAACAAAAUAUCAACUGAUAAAAAGAUGCAGAUCAAAAGGGCUCAACGCCAACAGACCAACAAUAACGAACAAGAUGUCCAGGCUCAACUGGCACCCCCUCAGCCCCAGGCAGUCCAACUACCCCAGGCAGCCCCACAGCAUCAGGCGGCACUGUUACAACAGGCAGCCCCACCACAGCAAGCCCAUGAUCAGGCGGGUAAUGUGAUUUUUAAUCCCCCUGUAGCAACAUUACAACAAUCCACCACUCUAAUGCCCGGCCUCAUUUCGCCUGUCAAUUCUAGUCUCACAUCUACAUGCACAGAUACAGGGAUAACUUCCAUUAUCACCUCAACCCAUCAGACUACUCCUGAACCAAUCAACUCUAUUACAGUUCCCAUUGGGUAUCAUGUAAACCAACCAAUUAAGCAAAAAAUCAUCAAGGGCGAAUUUGUCAAUCUGGGAACAUUAUUGUUAAGGGACCCCACUAAUGCCCAUGCAACAUCUACUCUCACAAUUGAUGCGCAGGGUAUCAGACACCAGCACACCAAACACGCACCAACCAACAUUGGGCAGGAAACCCUCGUCAACCCCAGAGACAUUUGGGUCCUAGGGUAUUCUCCCAUAAUCAUUAGCGCAAUUAGCAAUUAUUUGAGUCAAUACCCAGAUAGGGUCCCGGCAAGGAGCAUGAAGCUACAAGACCUUAAUACUAGGCUAUCAACGUUGCUAAGGUUAGAAGAUCGUCCUGAGUUUCUCAUCAUUCAUUGCGGAGCAAACAAUGUUGGCCAGAAAACCACUGAAGAGCUGCUUGAGCUCCUUUCCACAACCUUGUCACGAAUUUGUGACAUGUUCCCUACCACAACGAUAGUUUGGUCCUCUGCCCUACCUAGAUUAGCUUGGCGCUUUUCAGAGAAUGUUAAAGCAAUGAAUUGA